rnacentral:rRNA from 1 species
GAUGAACGCUGGCGGCGUGCCUAAUACAUGAAAGUCGAGCGAACAGACGAGGAGCUUGCUCCUCUGACGUUAGCGGCGGACGGGUGAGUAACACGUGGAUAACCUACCUAUAAGACUGGGAUAACUUCGGGAAACCGGAGCUAAUACCGGAUAAUAUAUUGAACCGCAUGGUUCAAUAGUGGAAGACGGUUUUGCUGUCACUUAUAGAUGGAUCCGCGCCGCAUUAGCUAGUUGGUAAGGUAACGGCUUACCAAGGCAACGAUGCGUAGCCGACCUGAGAGGGUGAUCGGCCACACUGGAACUGAGACACGGUCCAGACUCCUACGGGAGGCAGCAGUAGGGAAUCUUCCGCAAUGGGCGAAAGCCUGACGGAGCAACGCCGCGUGAGUGAUGAAGGUCUUCGGAUCGUAAAACUCUGUUAUUAGGGAAGAACAAAUGUGUAAGUAACUAUGCACGUCUUGACGGUACCUAAUCAGAAAGCCACGGCUAACUACGUG